rnacentral:rRNA from 1 species
UCUGCCCCUCACUUCGGGAUAAGCCUCGGAAACGGGGUCUAAUACCGGAUACGACACAGACCUGCAUGGGUUCUGUGUGGAAAGUUUUUCGGUGGGGGAUGUGCUCGCGGCCUAUCAGCUUGUUGGUGGGGUAAUGGCCUACCAAGGCUUCGACGGGUAGCCGGCCUGAGAGGGUGACCGGCCACACUGGGACUGAGACACGGCCCAGACUCCUACGGGAGGCAGCAGUGGGGAAUAUUGGACAAUGGGCGGAAGCCUGAUCCAGCAACGCCGCGUGAGGGAUGACUGCCUUCGGGUUGUAAACCUCUUUCAGUGGGGACGAAGCGCAAGUGACGGUACCCACAGAAGAAGCACCGGCCAACUACGUGCCAGCAGCCGCGGUAAUACGUAGGGUGCGAGCGUUGUCCGGAAUUAUUGGGCGUAAAGGGCUCGUAGGCGGUUUGUCGCGUCGGGAGUGAAAACACCGGGCUUAACUCGGUGCUGGCUUUCGAUACGGGCAGACUAGAGGUAUUCAGGGGAGAACGGAAUUCCUGGUGUAGCGGUGAAAUGCGCAGAUAUCAGGAGGAACACCGGUGGCGAAGGCGGUUCUCUGGGAAUUACCUGACGCUGAGGAGCGAAAGUGUGGGGAGCGAACAGGAUUAGAUACCCUGGUAGUCCACACCGUAAACGUUGGGCGCUAGGUGUGGGGUCCAUUCCACGGAUUCCGUGCCGCAGCUAACGCAUUAAGCGCCCCGCCUGGGGAGUACGGCCGCAAGGCUAAACUCAAAGGAAUUGACGGGGGCCCGCACAAGCGGCGGAGCAUGCGGAUUAAUUCGAUGCAACGCGAAGAACCUUACCUGGGUUUGACAUACACCGGAAAGCUGCAGAGAUGUAGCCCCUUUUAGUC